AGAUACCCCAGUAGUCCACGCUGUAAAUGAUGGGUACUUGACGUUGGGAGUAUCAACUCUUCCAGUGUCGUAGCUAACGCAUUAAGUACCCCGCCUGGGGAGUACGAUCGCAAGGUUGAAACUCAAAGGAAUUGACGGGGACCCGCACAAGCAGCGGAGCAUGUGGUUUAAUUCGACGCAACGCGAAAAACCUUACCAAGACUUGACAUCGUAUGAUCGUCAUAGAAAUAUGAUUUCUCCGCAAGGAGCAUAUAGACAGAUGGUGCAUGGUUGUCGUCAGCUCGUGUCGUGAGAUGUUGGGUUAAGUCCCAAAACGAGCGCAACCCUUAUCGGUAGUUGCCAAUAUUUAGUUAGGAACUCUGCCGAGACCGCCGCGGUAACGUGGAGGAAGGAAGGGACGACGUCAAAUCAUCAUGCCUCUUACGUCUUGGGCUACACACGUGUUACAAUGGCCAUUACAAAGAGCAGCAACAUGGUAACAUAGAGCAAAUCUCAUAAAAAUGGUCUCAGUUCAGAUUGUGGGCUGCAACCCGCCCACAUGAAGUAGGAGU
rnacentral:rRNA from 1 species